GGUGAACAGGAUGCAGACGGCAUGUCACAGAGAAGCGACAUGUGUGUGUCUGUAUCCCACCCUGGACCCACAGUGGAGUCCACAGUGACAAGAUCACAGUUCAGGAGAGUCACACCGGGAUUAAAAGGGGUGGUUAAAUGUGUUAUUUAAGAUAGUAAAUGUAGUGUGAGGGUGAAGCUCUCGCUGCCAGAGGGAAGUUUCCAGAAGAACAGGCACGUAAGGAUCCCUGUGAAUGUUGCUGCAUGAAAAGACCGAUAAUCCCGGGACCCAAGACCAAGACAAGGACGACCCCAAAAGACGACUUGAAGAUGAGUGACCGAGCCCCAACAGAGAUGAAGCCAGAGACGACGACCAGCCGGUUUGUCUGGAUCUGGAGCUGCAUGUUUCUGAUCUGCUGUUAUCGGCCUCAGCAACCUCCAAACGAUUCAUGUUCUUACCAUCCACUCUACUCUCAACGCAACCAGAGGUUGUUUUUUUUUAACUUCCCAGAUGGAAGUUUUUUUUCCUCACCCCAAAUGGAGUUUUUUUUUUUAAACUUCCCAACAACAGGAAGUUUUUUUUCCUUCACACUAGUACCACGUGCUUGAUCUGAUCUCACUGCAAAAAGAGAGAUCUUCAAAUAAAAAAAAACAACACAAUAGAACUGUAUGUUUGUUUAAAAAUGUAACCUAAUGCACUCUUCCUUUUAGACUUAUUAUUGGAGAGCAUGUUUUAUGGCUAGCAAACUUCAUUCAUCUAAAAAACAUGGUUUCAAACCACUGGUUUCUCACAAACACCUGGACUCCAUCUUAAAACUGCACAGCAUUUGAACAUACUGAUGGUUGUUCAAAUGCUUGGAGUCAAAUGCACGAGACAGUAAAUUUGCUAAAUACACAAAUGCUGC